ACAUAUGGUUCAAUAAAAAUUAUAAAAAAAUAAAUCUAGUCUGACUAGGAUGGGUGUUGGCAUGCUGUCCGACAACCACAGAUCGAUAUCCCUUUGCUAGAGUAAUUCAAAUGCACAUCAAUCUUCUUUAACAUCUAGAAAAAUUUAAAAGAGAGAAACAAUCUAGAAAGAGAAAAUCAUAGAGCAAAAGUAGAGAGAGAAAGUGGGG
rnacentral:lncRNA from 1 species